rnacentral:misc_RNA from 1 species
CCGAGUUUACAACUCCCAAACCCCUGUGAACAUACCACUUGUUGCCUCGGCGGAUCAGCCCGCUCCCGGUAAAAACGGGACGGCCCGCCAGAGGACCCCUAAACUCUGUUUUCUAUGUGUAACUUCUGAGUAAAACCAUAAAUAAAUCA